AUUGAACGCUGGCGGCAGGCUUAACACAUGCAAGUCGAGCGAGCGGCGGCCGGGUGAGUAAUGUCUGGGACACUGCCUGAUGGAGGGGGAUAACUACGGGAAACUGUAGCUAAUACCGCGUACUAUAGGAUGAGCCCAAGUGGGAUUAGGUAUUUGGUGGGGUAAAGGCUCACCAAGCCGACGAUCUCUAGCUGGUCUGAGAGGAUGACCAGCCACACUGGGACUGAGACACGGCCCAGACUCCUACGGGAGGCAGCAGUGGGGAAUAUUGCACAAUGGGGGAAACCCUGAUGCAGCCAUGCCGCGUGUAUGAAGAAGGCCUUCGGGUUGUAAAGUACUUUCAGCGAGGAGGCGUUACUCGCAGAAGAAGCACCGGCUAACUCCGUGCCAGCCGCCGCGGUAAUAC
rnacentral:rRNA from 1 species